CGCGAAUCGCCCUUCGGGGUGCACCAGGCGCGAAAACUUUACAAUGCUGGAAACAGCGAUAAGGGGACCUCGAGUGCCAGGUUACAAAUCUGGCUGUCGUGAUGCCUAAAAAGCAUUGCAUAGCAAGGGCCGGGCAAGACCGGUGCCAGCCGCCGCGGUAACACCGGCGGCUCGAGUGGUAACCGUUAUUAUUGGGUCUAAAGGGUCUGUAGCCGGCCGGAUAAGUCUCUUGGGAAAUCCAGCAGCUCAACUGUUGGGCUUUCAGGAGAUACUGUCUGGCUCGAGGCCGGGAGAGGUGAGAGGUACUUCAGGGGUAGGGGUGAAAUCUUGUAAUCCUUGAAGGACCACCAGUGGCGAAGGCGUCUCACCAGAACGGACCUGACGGCAAGGGACGAAAGCUAGGGGCACGAACCGGAUUAGAUACCCGGGUAGUCCUAGCCGUAAACGAUACUCGCUAGGUGUCGGCCACGGUGCGACCGUUGUCGGUGCCGUAGGGAAGCCGUGAAGCGAGCCACCUGGGAAGUACGGCCGCAAGGCUGAAACUUAAAGGAAUUGGCGGGGGAGCAC
rnacentral:rRNA from 1 species